UACGUAGGUCCCGAGCGUUGUCCGGAUUUAUUGGGCGUAAAGCGAGCGCAGGUGGUUUAUUAAGUCUGGUGUAAAAGGCAGUGGCUCAACCAUUGUAUGCAUUGGAAACUGGUAGACUUGAGUGCAGGAGAGGAGAGUGGAAUUCCAUGUGUAGCGGUGAAAUGCGUAGAUAUAUGGAGGAACACCGGUGGCGAAAGCGGCUUCCUGGUCUGCAACUGACACUGAGGCGCGAAAGCGUGGGGAGCAAACAGG
rnacentral:rRNA from 1 species